UAGAAGUAAACAGCACAAACUCCAAGUGUAACAGCGCUGUAAUGUCUUUAUGUUGCAGCAGGGCUAUCAGUUAAAAAAAAAAAAAGACUUUUCUUUCCUUACUCUGACUCUAAACUGCACCAGCCCUGGUGAGAUGGAAAUUACUCCAAGCUUUCUCCUUGGAAGAAACUUCUUGCCCUCUUCUCUUGGUUUUUGGAGAGCAGCACAGUGCUUCUCAUGAUCUGGUAUCACUGACUCAGCUCUAGAGACCAGGAUUUACAUCAGGAACUUUCCAGCUCUGGAUGGAGGCACCAGCUCGCCAUGUGCUGUGGGAGAAGCUGCCCCCCUGCACCCUCACUGCUCCCAAUUCUUCAGGCAAGGUUAAGUACAUGUAAAUUAAAACUGCAAGCUAUUUUUGUAUAAAGUCGGUAUUACUAAUUUGUUAACUAUGACAAUUUCACACAGAAACCCUUUUGUUGGAAACUGAGUUUCUCAUGUAAUAAUUAGCUGUGGAAUAUUACCCCAAACAGGUGUCUGUAGCCUGUCAAAGUCAGAACAGGUGAUUUAGAAUUAGCGUAUUAAAAGAACUGUGAAUUAGCGAAGCAAAAACGUGUUAAUUUCUUGUUCCAUCUGUUAAUAUGAAUUCACUGCCAAAUAUUUUACUUUGUAGAACUGUGCUGGGAUUGGCAAGAACAUACACUAUAAAAAAAAAGUUUAAAGGCCUGAAUGUUUAAAAAUCAUGACAUACGUUACUGCAAAAAUAACUUCUACAUUUGAGCAAGGUUUUUUCUUUUGUAUCUUUUAAAACUUCAUAGUCAAGAACACCAGAUAAUCCAUAAAAUUAAGCUAAAAGCUCUCACACACACACAAAAAAUAAUUUUAAGGCUUUCAAAACCGAGUCUGAAUGCAGUGUCACAAGAAAAUGUAAGGAAAAUAUUAUGAAUUGGCUUGGAUAAAAACUACAAUCAAUGUUUUUAUUCUGUCUUGAAAAUAUUCAAAUACUCAAGAUAUUGGAGAUGUGAAUAAUACCGGUAUUAAACAUAAUACUGCUGUCUACCUGUAAAAGCUCUGUCCUAUCUGUACAUGAGCAUAGAUCCCAUGAACAUCCCAUUCCUCAGUCUUUUGUGAUGAUCAGCAUGUUAUGAGCAAUGGCAACAACCCUAAAACUACCUGUCUGACACGUCUGAUUCUUCACAAUAGUAUUUAUAGCAGUAGGAAUGACAUGGCUUUUUAUUAUAAUCCUCACCUUCAUGUUCUUCUCACUGGAUGCUGGAAUACUGAGCUAGUGGAGAAUCUGGAACAUGUCUGGAUGGUCAGUAUGACAAACCCACUGCACACGAAGUGGGCUUAAAGACUGAUUUUAAAGAGUCUAUAGUUCACGUUUGCUAUUAGCAAAAACAAUGUUUUUUAUGGCUCUCCUGUCUUUCAAAAAAAGAGAAUAUUUUUAAAGCAUUUUAAAUAUAAUUACCCAGCAAUGUAUUAUACAUAUCCAUCAACUAUUAAUGAACACCAGGUAUAAAUGUCCAACUCCUAAUAUAUAUGACUAAUGACUGCAAUAUAUUUCCUACUGUGAGUACUUCUCUACUUUUCUAAGCUUUUCAGGGAAAUGCCCAGUUUUGUGUUUGCUCCCUGCUGUGCCUGGUGCUUCUCUGACCCUGCACCCUUUAGAGUUUCAACAGCUGAUUUCUUCUAUCAGUCACCAGCUGUCCUGCCCUGGAGAACAUCUUGCACAAGUUGGUUCACAGGUGAGGAGGUGCAGAAGCUCAGAGGAAGAGGAAGAUCAUACAUUGAAGUGGAUGAAGGAGAAAGCUAAAGAUGUUGACAUGUAUAGAAACCUCUCAUUGACCUCCAUCUUGGUGCAUUGCUCACCAAAAAUAGUUAUACAGCUAAUCCUGCCAUCAUUUGAGUCUCUGUUGUGCCAAGAUUUUCCAAGCACGAAGAAAUCACAGAGAAACCCAUAUUGCCACUUGGAUUACAGGAGAGUGAGAAGAUGCACACCCAAUUACUGCAAAGCGUUCCAAGCAAAGCUUAGAGAUACGCAGCAGGUUCUUAACUGCAAAUGAUAUGAUAGGUAGUUUCUCCUCCCUAGUUUUCUGCCACAUCCAAGAGAUUAAUACUUACAUGAAUCAUCUGUAAUGACUAGCAUAAUUUAGGGAAGUGAAUGAGAUUUUCUGCAUUAUUUAUAUUAUGAACUCACAAGAAUAUGAAUGGUGGCUUAUGUAAAUUCAAACCAUGUUUACAGUAGCAAAGUGCAGAGAAAGACCGCAAGGGUUAAGCUGAUAUUUCCAGGGUUGGAGCUCUUUGUAUCAACACUCGAUUGCUUAUUGCUUUAGUGCUGAGUGAUGUGAGUUACAGCCUAUGAACUACAUAUGGGAAACUUUUAUUGUUUUCCACAUUUGAAUGGAAAAAUAAUUAUGUCGCUCACAUCUUUCACAUACUUAAAGUAAAUGCAUCAAAUUCUUUCUCAGGGUGUGGGCCUGAAUUCUUAUAUUUAAAAAACGAAGGCUGCCAAAGUUUUGACCUUCGAGUAAUAAAGGUUAUUUUUUUUUCUUUCUUUCUUUCUUUUAUUUUUUUAAUGCUUGAUAAUUCAACCUAAAUGUCAGCUUCAGCUUUAAAAUAGAACACAUCUAUUUGCUCAUAAUAUUUAAGAAAUACAAUGUCAUUAUGCUGUUAUCAGUGGUAAAACAUGUCUAAUCUUGAUAUAGCAUCACCUUUAACAAAUGCUUGUGGGAAAAAACUAGCGAAUGCAUAAAACAUUUUAUGUAGUUUUAAAAUAUACAAUACAUUAAAGUUUUAGUUGACUUAUCUGAAAAGACAUAUUUUUGGCACAUAAAUAAAAAAAGGCAAGGGAAGAACUUGUCAGAAGGCAAAUAAAGUAUGUAAAUUAAAUCAAAGGUAAGGCAGCUACACUUUUUGUAUAAAUAACUGUGUUAACAGAUUUUUAUGCAUAUUACAAUAUAUUCAGAUGUAUUACUUCUGCAAAAACAAAUUCGUUGCUUCUUUCCAAAAAACGGAUUAAAACAAUUUAUUUUAUAAAAUUUGGAUGGAUAGGAUAAGAAAUGU